rnacentral:lncRNA from 1 species
UGUCACGACCCGGAACUCCCAUCGAGCCCGUGACAACCGCCGCGACGUCCCGAUAGGCACUCAUUACCCCGAAUGCCGAUCGAAACCCCGCAAGGCUUAGCAUCAGCUUCCGCAUCUCCCCGGUGAGCGACAGUUAUUAAAUCUUGCAUUUCAAGAAAUCAUAAGUCGUUUCCAAAUCAAAACAAUAAAAUAUUAUUUUCUGGCUCACAAGGGCAUUUUCGUCAUUUUUCUUCGAUAAUACCGAAACUCGCCAAAAACAUGGUGUAAAAGCUAAAUAUGUUCAUACAUAUUUUAAAUCAGAUAACUAAAGUAUAAAAUUACUUUUACAAUGACACGUGGGCCCCCAACUAACCAAUAAGAUGCGAGUCUGUGAACCUAUAAUUUUGACAAUGCAAGGCUAACUGAAGUCCUUGAUGCAAUCGGCUAUCUACCGGCUAUCCCGAACCUGAAAUGUGGGGAAUUGAGGGUGGUGAGAUUAUAAAAUCCCAGUGAGUAAACAGACACCAUCUAAACUAUCUAAAGGCGAGUAAAUGGAGACAAUUAAAAAAUAAUUAACUUCAGCAAAUUUUUCACAUCACGAAUAUUCAUUUCAACCAAAUAAUCAAUAUGGCUCAUGAAUUACUCAAAACUUGGCUCAUGCCAAAUCCUGUACUCGGUGACACCUGGACCAGGGGUAUCCAACCGAG